rnacentral:rRNA from 1 species
GAUGAACGCUGGCGGCGUGCCUAAUACAUGCAAGUCGAGCGAACGGACGAGAAGCUUGCUUCUCUGAUGUUAGCGGCGGACGGGUGAGUAACACGUGGAUAACCUACCUAUAAGACUGGGAUAACUUCGGGAAACCGGAGCUAAUACCGGAUAAUAUUUUGAACCGCAUGGUUCAAAAGUGAAAGACGGUCUUGCUGUCACUUAUAGAUGGAUCCGCGCUGCAUUAGCUAGUUGGUAAGGUAACGGCUUACCAAGGCAACGAUGCAUAGCCGACCUGAGAGGGUGAUCGGCCACACUGGAACUGAGACACGGUCCAGACUCCUACGGGAGGCAGCAGUAGGGAAUCUUCCGCAAUGGGCGAAAGCCUGACGGAGCAACGCCGCGUGAGUGAUGAAGGUCUUCGGAUCGUAAAACUCUGUUAUUAGGGAAGAACAUAUGUGUAAGUAACUGUGCACAUCUUGACGGUACCUAAUCAGAAAGCCACGGCUAACUACGUGCCAGCAGCCGCGGUAAUACGUAGGUGGCAAGCGUUAUCCGGAAUUAUUGGGCGUAAAGCGCGCGUAGGCGGUUUUUUAAGUCUGAUGUGAAAGCCCACGGCUCAACCGUGGAGGGUCAUUGGAAACUGGAAAACCUGAGUGCAGAAGAGGAAAGUGGAAUUCCAUGUGUAGCGGUGAAAUGCGCAGAGAUAUGGAGGAACACCAGUGGCGAAGGCGACUUUCUGGUCUGUAACUGACGCUGAUGUGCGAAAGCGUGGGGAUCAAACAGG